UGAGCAACCUGCCCUUGACCCUGGAAUAACAGCUGGAAACAGCUGCUAAUACCGGAUACGACCUCCGAUGGCAUCAUCUGGAGGUGGAAAGCUCCGACGGUCAAGGAUGGGCUCGCGGCCUAUCAGCUUGUUGGUGAGGUAAUGGCUUACCAAGGCGACGACGGGUAGCCGGCCUGAGAGGGUGACCGGCCACACUGGGACUGAGACACGGCCCAGACUCCCGUAGGGA
rnacentral:rRNA from 1 species